NNNNNNNNNNNNNNNNNNGGGAGCCGCGGGCGCUUUGGCCCAGGGUCCCGGGGCCAAAGAAUUGGGUUCCAUCCUGGUGGUGUUCCUUGGCUGACCCGCCCUUUCAGCUCCGAGAGCCUCAAUUUGCAGCUCUAUAUCAGGGAGACUAUUUUUGACCGAGAUGGAAAUCAGAAUUUUCCUGUGUUCUAGCUUUAGGGCGGUGUGUAUCUUUGCAAAGUUUUAAGAAAUCUUUUUACAAAGGCUUCAGCAGGCUUUCCUUUCCCUCUGGGUACAGAGCUUCAUUUCAGCCAAGGGGAGAAGGCCGAAAAACUUCCUGUCGAGUUCUGAUGAUCAGUUUUCAGAGCGGCCUCCUUCUGACCAUAGAGCUACACUAAAAACAAUCCUUUUGAAUAUCUCCACGGGCCUCAGCUGAGACAAACAGUAAAUGCUUCUGACCGUAUUGUAUUGAACAACCCUUCCAUAUAAGGGGCACCCUCAAAAAGUGUGCAACGAAUAUGACCCUCCCAAGAUCCAGAGCCACUCUCAAAGAUAACCAAAAGAGAGGAAGACGAAUUUUCCCGAGAGCUGGCAACCGCCAGUAGGGCACACUGAGAGCAACCUGCUCUUCUGCAUGGCCGUGUUUUGGGCCCAAGCCUGACAGGUGCCAAGCCAAGUUCUCAAGACACAAAAGGAGACAAACAGGAAGGCAGCAGCUGUACCCAGGAGAGGAAGGAUUCACAGCCGAAACUCCCCACUGGACCCGGGUUAUCUAAAUACAAGUUACUUAUUUGAUUGGCAUUUGCUCUCGUCAGUUUCGCAAACUAAUUUUCUAGAGAUGGACAUUUGGGAAGGAGGCAGUAUUUUUAGGAAAGCGUCAUCGAAUAAAUGCGUGAAUGACAAUGACAACAAAAGGCAAGAAGAGUGUAUGCCAUCUCGCCCUCCAGAGGAAGCACCAAGACAGAGAUGAAGAAGAGGCCAAGUGCUGGUAUAUUCGAAAAUGCUAUUUUAGACCACAUGUGAGCUGCUCACAAAGGAGGUGGCCUGAAACUCUCUUUCUACACCGUGAGAUUAUCACCUACGUCCAGGUAUGAAAAAGAGGCUUAAGCAUUCGUUACAGGAAGUGUUUCAUGGGAAUUUCCUUGGACAGAGAUUUUAGGGAGUAAGUUACAUUUUUGCCUUAACGCAAGUGAGAAGAGCUUCUGGAAAAGCACGUAGGACCCUUGACAGAUGUUCUCUGCACUGUAGACUUACUGUUGCAAGCAGAGCAUGAGGAAGGAAGGCAGGAGUGG
rnacentral:lncRNA from 1 species